GAUGAAGAACGUAGCGAAAUGCGAUAAGUAAUGUGAAUUGCAGAAUUCAGUGAAUCAUCGAAUCUUUGAACGCAUCUUGCGCUCCUUGGUACUCUGAGGAGCAUGCCUGUUUGAGUGUCAUUAAAUUCUCAACCGCACUGACUUUGAAUUGGUGUGGCUUGGAUUUGGGGGGAAAAUUGUUGUGGGCUUUUUUGUAUAGUCUGCUCCCCUGAAAUUGAUUAGCGGUACCUUUGUGGAACUGUCUACAGGUGUGAUAAUUAUCUACAUCCUAGACAUCUGCUGGAAUGCUGCUUUCUAAACCUUACUUGUAUUGACAAUCUUGACCUCAAAUCAGGUAGGACUACCCGCUGAACUUAAGCAUAUCAAUAAGCGGAGGA
rnacentral:misc_RNA from 1 species